AUAUAAAAAGGGUUAAACCCUUUCCGUACCAAGGGAGAAACGAGUCGUGGAGCCGCGUAAACAGAGAAGAAGGCCGAGAUCUGUCGAACUUCGGUUGGAUUUCGACUUUUUUCAUCUUCUUUUGUAACGUGUUUUGAAUUCUCAUCUCCAUCUGGUAGUAGAUCCGGUGCUUUUUCUCUCAGAUUCGUUGAACAAUGAAAGCUCCUUGUACUCUCUUUGCGACGGUUAUCGCAGCUUCUACUAUGGCUAUCUCGUCAUCAUCUCCCUCAGGGAACAAACACGAUAUUUCAUACAUAUCACCAAAUAAGGAGUUUAGUUUAAGCGGUAAUGCAAGGGCGUCGCGUGCAGCUUCUUCUGUGGAAGACAAGAAAUUCUCCCCCAAAUUUGAUGGCUUGAGGUUCAUUGAAACUUUAGUUACAGCCCAUCGGUGAUUGAGCUGACAUGAAAUUUUCAAGGUUUAUUAUGAACUUAGUGCGUAAUAUCAUUUGUUGUUUGUUGGUGUGCCAGAGACAUAUUUGAAGUUUUGGAUAUGAUGAGUGUUGCGUGUUUAGGGAAACAAAAUCUCAUUGUAUCAGAGGCAUUGAGGUUUAAUUUUUGUAGGCGGGUCGAGUCUUCUUUGAAUUUUGGUAAUUUUAAUAUGUUUUUUUAGUUCA